CCUACGGGUGGCUGCAGUGGGGAAUAUUGGACAAUGGGGGGAACCCUGAUCCAGCCAUGCCGCGUGUGUGAAGAAGGCCCUCGGGUUGUAAAGCACUUUCAGUGAGGAAGAACGCCUGGUGGUUAAUACCCAUCAGGAAAGACAUCACUCACAGAAGAAGCACCGGCUAACUCCGUGCCAGCAGCCGCGGUAAUACGGAGGGUGCGAGCGUUAAUCGGAAUUACUGGGCGUAAAGCGCGCGUAGGUGGCUUGAUAAGCCGGUUGUGAAGGCCCCGGGCUCAACCUGGGAACGGCAUCCGGAACUGUCAAGCUAGAGUGCAGGAGAGGAAGGUAGAAUUCCCGGUGUAGCGGUGAAAUGCGUAGAGAUCGGGAGGAAUACCAGUGGCGAAGGCGGCCUUCUGGACUGACACUGACACUGAGGUGCGAAAGCGUGGGUAGCAAACAGGAUUAGAUACCCGAGUAGUC
rnacentral:rRNA from 1 species